rnacentral:rRNA from 1 species
AUUGAACGCUGGCGGCAGGCCUAACACAUGCAAGUCGAGCGGAGCGGCGGACGGGUGAGUAAUGACUAGGAAUCUGCCUGGUAGCGGGGGAUAACGUCCGGAAACGGGCGCUAAUACCGCAUACUAUCAGAUGAGCCUAGGUCGGAUUAGCUAGUUGGUGGGGUAAAGGCCUACCAAGGCGACGAUCCGUAACUGGACGGAGAGGAUGAUCAGUCACACGGGAACUGUGACACGGUCCAGAGUCCUACGGGAGGGAGCAGUGGGGAAGAUUGGACAAUGGGCGAAAGCCUGAUCCAGACAUGGCGCGUGUGUGAAAAAGGUCUUCGGAUUGUAAAGCACGUUAAGUUAGGAGGCGUUACCAACAGAAUAAGCACCGGCUAACUUCGUGCCAGCAGCCGCGGUAAUAC